UAGUGUUACAGCUCUUUUGGGAUUUGUCUAGCAGGUCUUCCAGUAUAUACCAAUACACCCUU
rnacentral:snRNA from 1 species